rnacentral:rRNA from 1 species
AUUGAACGCUGGCGGCAGGCCUAACACAUGCAAGUCGAACGAGUGGCGGACGGGUGAGUAAUGUCUGGGAAACUGCCUGAUGGAGGGGGAUAACUACUGGAAACGGUAGCUAAUACCGCAUAACCUCAGAUGUGCCCAGAUUGGAUUAGCUUGUUGGUGGGGUAACGGCACACAAGGGCGACGAUCCCUAGCUGGUCUUAGAGGAUGACCAGCCCCACUUGAACUGGGCCACGGUCCAGACUCCUACGGCAGGCAGCAGGGGGGAAUUUUGCACAAUGGUCGCAAGCCUGAUGCAGCCAUGCCGCGUGUAUGAAGAAGGCCUUCGGGUUGUAAAGUACUUUCAGCGGGGAGGCGUUACCCGCAGAAGAAGCACCGGCUAACUCCGUGCCAGCAGCCGCGGUAAUAC